rnacentral:rRNA from 1 species
CCUACGGGAGGCAGCAGUGAGGAAUAUUGGUCAAUGGACGAGAGUCUGAACCAGCCAAGUAGCGUGAAGGAUGACUGCCCUAUGGGUUGUAAACUUCUUUUAUAUGGGAAUAAAAUGUUCCACGUGUGGGAUUUUGUAUGUACCAUAUGAAUAAGGUUCGGCUAACUCGGUGCCAGCAGCCGCGGUAAUACGGAGGAGCCGAGCGUUUUCCGGAUUUAUGGGGUUUAAAGGGAGCGUAGGUGGAUUGUUAAGUAGGUUGUGAAAGUUUGCGGCUCAAGCGGAAAAUUGCAGUUGAAACUGGCAGUCUUGAGUACAGUAGAGGUGGGCGGAAUGCGUGGUGUAGCGGUGAAAUGCUUAGAUAUCACGAAGAACUCCGAUUGCGAAGGCAGUUCACUGGACUGCAACUGACACUGAGGCUCGAAAGUGUGGGUAUCAAACAGGAUUAGAUACCCUUGUAGUC